AGCCCUAAAACUCACAAGAAAUCCAACAAAAAUCGAAGAUAGAACAAGCUAAAAAUUGGGGCUUUUAAUAAAUUUGUGAUCACCCAAGCUAGGAGAUUGCAAGUUUGACUCUGACAAGCUAGGUAGGAGCUUGGAAAUGAACGGGUCAAAUGGAUACAAGUUCAAGUAUGAAGCUCGCAAGGAUGCAAGGUAAAUGAUAUCGGCUAUCCGGAUGAAGAUCAAGCGCCUAACAAGAACCGAACACACGAUAAAUGAAGCUUCCGCAUUUGAGUUUAAACCUUGUUUUCAAAAGUGAACUAUGUAAACACUUAUAACAUGGUUGUUGGAACGUUUUAAAUAU